rnacentral:rRNA from 1 species
UAAAAGGGGUGGAGCAGGAGAGGAGGGGCCGUUAGGGCCGCUCAGCCUAGGUAGGCAAAGGGCGCAGGCCGCGGCGGCUUGGGCGGCGAGGCGAGGAGCGGUACGUAGGGGGGCGGUGGAGCGCCCUCGGUGAGAGAGGAGGGUAGGUGGCUUAACGGCGCCUCGCCUAGCCUCUGGGCGGGUCUGGCCGACCGAAACCAGGCACGCCUCUAAAGAGGAGGAAAAGACGGAGCGCAUGGAGCAUUACGGGGUGGUAGCCGCUGGAGCGGCGGCCGCUGCCCUGCGUCGAUGGGCGGGUUCGGAGGAGCGUAUUCGCUGAGCCUGACCUAGGAGGCAGACGACUAAGAGGGAGAAGUUGCGGGUUCUAGCUAGAGCCAACCGCGACGGGUUCCACGCCGACGCCAAAUAAAAGCUGUCAAAUCACGUGUAAGGCAUCUAAUUUCCCUCUUGGACACGGACCACUGUAGACGUUUACUUUACGCGUCGACUUGGUAUUUAACAAGUCUGUGUUCAUUAGUUUUCCACUUUUAUCUUACCACUGGACAACGUCAAAUCUACUGUGGUCUACUAUUGCGGGAAUAAUGAAAUUUCUUUCCGUCGUUCGAAUAGUUCAUAUCAGCCUUCCCUUUUGGGUUCUAAGCACUCAAGUCUGAAAGAUCACUGCUUUGUCGUAAUCAAACCAUGAGCGUGUUGUUCCUUUUCACAGAGUCUGACAGAAGGCACAGGUUUUAGUAUGGACCUGUCUCUUGACGACAAAAAUCCUCCAAAGAUGCGGGACUCUUCCUAAUGGACAGUAAAAGUGACUAUAUGUUCUUGCCGGACGCAAGGGAACUAGACCAAACGUUCCUAGUUCGUCUCCAACUUCACACCAAAAGUUGUGAACUCUGUGACUAAUGAAGUACGGCACAUUUAAAAGGUUGUCUAAAGGUUUCACUAUCUUAUAGUAAAAGACUACUUCACAGGGUUAUAGUUCUACGCAUACUAUGUUCUGAUCUCUAACGGAGUUCAUAAUUGGCGUCAAUAAUGAGUCGACCAAUACCGCGUCGGAUAGGUAACUUAAGAAGUUCUCGUCUACAAUCUAGUCUAGCACGUUUAUACGAUUCUCAUUCAUGCCCUCUGUCAUCAGCCUAAUCGUAUAGGUCGUCGCAGGGAUCAAGAAGGUCAGUUCCAAGACCUGGUCUACUAUAUCUUAGGGAACCACUACAAAUACAUACCCCACUCCACACCUGACUACACGAGGGGGGUCUACCUAGGAGUUUGAAAAACACGAGGUUUUGUCUACAAAACUAAGGAUUUGGAGAACUCAGCCUACAACAAAACCUGCAUGUCGUCUAUAGUACACCAAGCUCCGUGUAACGAGAAUGAUGGUCUGUUCCUCUUCAUAAAUGAACCCCACUUCUUGAACCACCCGCCGAACCAGUACCUUGACUACUUCUAUAAUCAGCGGGGUUUGAACAACUCAGAAAUCGUCACAGGUUGCACCUCAUAUAACGUACGCCUCUCAAAGUAUGAACACGACAUUGACGGAGACCACUAAACAUGUUAACCCCACUACCAAGAAUGUUACGACCUAACGAUCCUGUACCGGAACCCCGAUCGGUGACCGAAGGUUUCGCUCACAGUCCUGGAAAUCUUCCCGAAGUUCACAACAGACAACGUACACCGAGCACCGUAAGUCGUGAACGGUACAGUUCACCUUUUCAUAAGUGAAAACCACUACCCUGUAAACCACGAGAACCCGUACCUUUAGCACUAUCACAAAGGAUAGGUUUCCUUCAACUUAGAAACUCACCCAAGUCUUGCUACUUUCAACGUACACCACAAACCGUAAGGCGUCGUUAACACCUCUGGUUAUCAGUCUGUCCGUACUUACACCAUAGGUCCUUCGAUAAGUGGACCCCACUACCUCUAUUCUUAGCGAACCCAGUACCUCUGUUCCUCCGAGCCGAUCAAGGGUGACAACAAGUUCGGGAACAACUAUUAUUAAAGGUAGUCCAUCGGACACCUGUAUCAUACUGACAACGUGAGCGGUGUAGACCAGUACAGAAGUGUUACCCAUCGAGAUCAUUACCAGUUGAACCCUUAGGUUUUCGGCUACCAUUUGAUGGAACGGUUCAUGUUCUGUUCAACUUGUCACUCAACCAACUUCUCUAGAGUACACCGAGAUUGGUACAACGUCAGAACUGAAGUGCCUCGCUUCAUAUAUGGACCCCAUACCCCCGGUUACCUUCCGACCCUGUACCACCAUAACUUCUAUUUUUCUUUGGUUGAUAGCACCUGCGCAAUUUUCUGGCAGUGCAAUUUUCAUAUCGUACACCAAGUUUAAAAUGCUGUACGUAAACGUAUGUAUUCACCCAAAGUCCGCGUCUAGUCAGACAGACGAGUCCCACAUCCGUUGGUAAACCAAAGUGUUCUUUCGCCGUGUUAACAAUGUUAACGCCCGAACACGUAACGGUACGUACAUCAAGUUCCUUCCAGGAUUUCCGACGCAACCGUGGUUGAGGACCGUUCGGUGUAGCACAUACACUAAGUACAAAGUACUUUGACUUUCGACGUCUAUCGCCGCCGUGAUUAUCAGGUAUAUUAUUGUUUUUCUCACAGUACUGAGCAGCUAGACAACUAUAGUUUCUAUUCAGUCUCUCCGGUCUGUAUUCCGGAAGUUCCGAUCGUUGUCGUCGUUGUCGUCUCGGUCAGUUCAUACGCCUACGUUUUAGUCAAUCUUCACUCUACUUUGGACUGGGACACAGGUUACGCUCCCGUGGGGUUCCAGGACGAUGUCGAAACCGUCAGGGUUGAUCAAAACAUUUCGGAUACCCUUACCCUCCUUACCCUCCUUACCCCCCUUACCCGCCUUACCCAUACCCUUACCCUUACCCUUACCCUCAUUUGUACCGCGGUUACCCUUACCCGUACGGGCACCACAGUGUUAGAGUAUUCUUCGGUUCAGGUAGAGGUCGUUACUGCUCACGAGACAGACAAUUUUCACUGUGGUUUCUAUAGCUAUUGGACUUCUUCUGAUUACUCUGCGACUUAGUUCUGUAGAGUUUCAACGUUUGAGUCCAAUUAUUCGAUUUUGUCUUUACACUUCAGGUCCUACUCGUUGAUGUCUUUUGUCUUUCUUCUCGAUUUUCGCGACGGAGAGAUCGACGUCUUCUUAGAUGGUCUGCGUUAAGGUACAACCUGAAAUAAUCCAAAGAACUGUGUCUCGAGUUUCCCUAACGUCUGUUCCACGGACGACUUAAGAGACUGUCAUAGUUUCUGAACGUUUCGGUUAGUCUCUUCAUAGAGUGACCUGUCACAUCAGUAGGUGGCCUCCGGUAAAGACCUUUACUUGUCGGAGCGGAGGGGUAACCGCCCUACGUACUUUAUUGUGUGGUACCGUCCAGUCGAUCGUACCCAUUGGACCUACCGUGAAGGAACUGUUCGCUUAGAGGUACGGUAGCUUAGUACCUCUCGUUACCCUCCCGAGGUCCGCUGAAACGUGGUUUCAUACCGUGGGUACCACUCCACGUCGACUAGCUCGUCAAACUCGGUCCUCAAGUACAGUGUGAAUAAGUCGACUCUCUGCCGUGGUUUCAUAAGUUCGCACAGGCCAAGUCGUUCUCCUCUAAGCGGCUCGUCGUCCGGCUCCUCACCACCUCCCUCUUGGUCCUCUCCCACAAGUCCUUUAUGUUGGUGCGUGGAUGGAUCCGAGGAGCCGAGUCGUAGAAGGUGGAUGCGCUCUGCUUAGCGCGGCAACUACGAGCCCUAAGGCACAAGGGGUGACGGUCGACUGCAAAUCAGACUUCUAGGACCGCUGACAAACAAGAAAACUGCUAGUUAGAACACAAAAAAAAGAAGAAGCAAAAAAACGAAGAAAACCUCUAGACAAAGUAAAGGUAUGGGAACUCGGAUAAACGACCCUUGCACACAAGUCCAACCCUUGUGAACGAACACCGAAGGGUCGCUCCAUUUUAUCAAACACAGCUUGCCACAUUAGGAGCGCCUGUUUAUAAUAAGCUCUUUCAUACAUAUUUACUUACAUUCCGUUAUUCAGGCGUGUGCUCAAUACUUCGACUUCCCGUAAAAAGUCAUCAUCAUUUGUUUAA